rnacentral:rRNA from 1 species
CACGUAGGGGCCAAGCGUUGUCCGGAUUUAUUGGGCGUAAAGAGCUCGUAGGCGGUUGGGUAAGUCGGGUGUGAAAACUCCAGGCUUAACUUGGAGACGCCACCCGAUACUGCUCUGACUUGAGUUCGGUAGGGGAGUGGGGAAUUCCUGGUGUAGCGGUGGAAAUGCGCAGAUAUCAGGAGGAACACCAGUGGCGAAGGCGGCCGGCUGGGGGGUGACCUGACGCUGAGGCGCGAAAGCGUGGGGAGCGAACCGG